AUGACGAACACAAAGGGAAACAGGAGAGUCACCUGAUAAUUGUUCUCUUGGCCUUUCAGAAAACAUAGAAUUGUUCCUUUGGCCACAUACAUGGGAAUCCACAAGAAAGGCGAUAUUGUAGACAUCAAAGGAAUGGAUACUGUUCAAAAAGGAAUGCCCCACAAGUGCUACCAUGGCAAACCUGGAAGAGUCUACAAUGUUACCCAGCAUGCUGUUGGCAUUGUUCUAAACAAACAAGGGCAGGAUUCUUGCCAAGAGAAUUAAUGUGCAUAUUAAGCACAUUAAGCACUCUAAGACCCGAAAUAGCUUCCUGAAACGCGUGAAGGAAAAUGAUCAGAAAAAAAGGAAGCCAAAGACAAAGGUACUUGGUGUCAGCCAGCUCCACCCAGAGGAGCACACUUUGGAGAACCAAUGGAGAGGAGCCUGAGCUGCUGGAACCUAUUCCCUAUGAAUUCAUGGCAUAA
rnacentral:lncRNA from 1 species